CGCUAUAAUGCAGUCGAACGAACUCUGGUAUUGAUUGGUGCUUGCAUCAUGAUUUACAUUUGAGUGAGUGGCGAACUGGUGAGUAACACGUGGGAAACCUGCCCAGAAGCGGGGGAUAACACCUGGAAACAGAUGCUAAUACCGCAUAACAACUUGGACCGCAUGGUCCGAGUUUGAAAGAUGGCUUCGGCUAUCACUUUUGGAUGGUCCCGCGGCGUAUUAGCUAGAUGGUGGGGUAACGGCUCACCAUGGCAAUGAUACGUAGCCGACCUGAGAGGGUAAUCGGCCACAUUGGGACUGAGACACGGCCCAAACUCCUACGGGAGGCAGCAGUAGGGAAUCUUCCACAAUGGACGAAAGUCUGAUGGAGCAACGCCGCGUGAGUGAAGAAGGGUUUCGGCUCGUAAAACUCUGUUGUUAAAGAAGAACAUAUCUGAGAGUAACUGUUCAGGUAUUGACGGUAUUUAACCAGAAAGCCACGGCUAACUACGUGCCAGCAGCCGCGGUAAUACGUAGGUGGCAAGCGUUGUCCGGAUUUAUUGGGCGUAAAGCGAGCGCAGGCGGUUUUUUAAGUCUGAUGUGAAAGCCUUCGGCUCAACCGAAGAAGUGCAUCGGAAACUGGGAAACUUGAGUGCAGAAGAGGACAGUGGAACUCCAUGUGUAGCGGUGAAAUGCGUAGAUAUAUGGAAGAACACCAGUGGCGAAGGCGGCUGUCUGGUCUGUAACUGACGCUGAGGCUCGAAAGUAUGGGUAGCAAACAGGAUUAGAUACCCUGGUAGUCCAUACCGUAAACGAUGAAUGCUAAGUGUUGGAGGGUUUCCGCCCUUCAGUGCUGCAGCUAACGCAUUAAGCAUUCCGCCUGG
rnacentral:rRNA from 2 species